GACGAACGCUGGCGGCGUGCCUAAUACAUGCAAGUCGAACGCACUCUCGUUUAGAUUGAAGAAGCUUGCUCCUGAUUGAUAAACAUUUGAGUGAGUGGCGGACGGGUGAGUAACACGUGGGUAACCUGCCCUAAAGUGGGGGAUAACAUUUGGAAACAGAUGCUAAUACCGCAUAAAACCUAAACACCGCAUGGUGUAGGGUUGAAAGAUGGUUUCGGCUAUCACUUUAGGAUGGACCCGCGGUGCAUUAGUUAGUUGGUGAGGUAAAGGCUCACCAAGACCGUGAUGCAUAGCCGACCUGAGAGGGUAAUCGGCCACACUGGGACUGAGACACGGCCCAGACUCCUACGGGAGGCAGCAGUAGGGAAUCUUCCACAAUGGACGAAAGUCUGAUGGAGCAACGCCGCGUGAGUGAAGAAGGUUUUCGGAUCGUAAAACUCUGUUGUUGGAGAAGAAUGUAUCUGAUAGUAACUGAUCAGGUAGUGACGGUAUCC
rnacentral:rRNA from 1 species